GACAGAGGGUGCAAACGUUGUUCGGAAUUACUGGGCGUAAAGCGCGUGUAGGCGGGUCUUUAAGUCAGGGGUGAAAUGCCAAGGCUCAACCUUGGAACCUGGCCUUUGAUACUGGAGACCUUGAGUCCCGGGAGAGGUGAGUGGAAUUGCGAGUGUAGAGGUGAAAUUCGUAGAUAUUCGCAAGAACACCAGUGGCGAAGGCGGCUCACUGGCCCGGAACUGACGCUGAGACGCGAAAGCGUGGGAG
rnacentral:rRNA from 1 species